GAUGAACGCUGGCGGCGUGCUUAACACAUGCAAGUCGAACGGAAAGGCCCAAGCUUGCUUGGGUACUCGAGUGGCGAACGGGUGAGUAACACGUGGGUGAUCUGCCCUGCACUUCGGGAUAAGCCUGGGAAACUGGGUCUAAUACCGGAUAGGACCACAUUUUGGAUGGUGUGGUGGAAAGUUUUUCGGUGUGGGAUGAGCUCGCGGCCUAUCAGCUUGUUGGUGGGGUAAUGGCCUACCAAGGCGUCGACGGGUAGCCGGCCUGAGAGGGUGUACGGCCACAUUGGGACUGAGAUACGGCCCAGACUCCUACGGGAGGCAGCAGUGGGGAAUAUUGCACAAUGGGCGCAAGCCUGAUGCAGCGACGCCGCGUGGGGGAUGACGGCCUUCGGGUUGUAAACUCCUUCCGCUAGGGACGAAGCGCAAGUGACGGUACCUGGAGAAGAAGCACCGGCUAACUACGUG
rnacentral:rRNA from 1 species